CGAGCACGCGCGUGUGGCAUAUCAAUAAGCGGAGGAAAAGAAACUAACAAGGAUUCCCUUAGUAACGGCGAGUGAAGCGGGAAGAGCUCAAAUUUGAAAUCUUCAAGGUUCUACCUUGACGAAUUGUAGUUUAUAGAAGUGUUUUCUGUUAGUGGAGUGGCAAAAGUUCUUUGGAAUAGGACAUCAUAGAGGGUGAGAAUCCCGUAUUUGGUCAUUCCUCCUAGCGUUGUGAUACACUUUCAACGAGUCGGAUUGUUUGGGAAUGCAGUCCAAAAUGGGUGGUAAAUUUCAUCUAAAGCUAAAUAUUGGCGAGAGACCGAUAGCGAACAAGUACCGUGAGGGAAAGAUGAAAAGAACUUUGAAAAGAGAGUUAAACAGUACGUGAAAUUGUCAAAAGGGAAGCGUUUGACACCAGUGUUGUUUUUCCGAAAAUCAAUUACGAAUGUUUUAGUUUUUAAGGAGUUAUGACUUCAUCGGCUUGCUCCUUUCUUUAUGAAACUUUCUUAAUGCACUUUUCGGUUAACAAGUCAACAUCAAUUUCUUUUGUUGUAAAAGGGUAUGAGGAAGGUGGCUUUCUUUUCGGAGAAAGUGUUUAUAGCCUUGUGCCUCUGCAAUCGGAGAGAUUGAGGUCUGCAGCGUAGAUCCUUCGGGGUUAGAUACGUUUGUGCUAAGUUAUAGCUUUUCAUAGACAACUUGUUGACUAUGUUUAGUCUUGUAGCUUACUCGCUGAUGCUAUUUUACCUACGCUUAGGAUGUUGAGCGCAUGUCUCUCUCU
rnacentral:rRNA from 1 species